UCCUGCUGGCAAUUAAUUGGUCGCGGAUAUGUAAAAACGCGACUUGUCAGAAGGGCCGUGGCCUCUUUGGCGCAGGGGCUCCUAGCUGCCUCGCCAAAGCAGGCGAAAGUGAAUCACCUCUUUUCUUUCCUUUCUCUAGCUCAUUGAAGGAGUCAAACAAGAGCCGGUGCAAGGGAACGGAAACAUAUGGCUGGGAACAGAAGGAAGGUGGGACCGUGGCAUGACGACUUUGAGAGGUUCUGAAUGGUACAUGUUAAAUAAUUAUUCACCCUAGGGUGAACAACAAGGACUAUAAAAGCUUUAGAUUACCCAGUCAAUGAGCACCAUUCAUCUUCUCCACGGCAAAAGAAAAAACUUUCAAGUCCAGAAGAUCCCUAAGCCUAACACACCAACACAAUUUGGCUGAAGGCUGCUAAACUAGAUCCAGCCAUCUGCAUGCAACAGCUUUAAGCCACUAGUUGGAGUUACUGCACGAUGUUGUUCACUGCAUCAGCAAAAAACACUUCAUAUCUGCAACUGUUGUCACUGUCAUGGAUAAUAAAGUGCAGCACAGCACCAGGCAAGCAGAGGGGGGCAGUCGCACCUCAAACUGUCAGCAUCACAGCUGGGAGGCAAGAGUCACAGUCAUUCACUGGAAACUUCCAAUGUUCCUUUAACGCAGAGGUUUGGGCUAUUAAUUGUAUGAAUACUUUACUUUCUUACAAGGUUUUGUGUCGUAUCUGUAUCAUAGGCCUUACUUUCUCUAUAGCAUGCCUGUGUCUUUCCAGAAAUUUGAAAAUCUGCUAAACUUUCCUUUUCACAGCAACUUCCAAAGUGUUGCAGAUCUGAAGCGAGCUAUUUCAAAAUUGAUUCUUACCUCAUUUAUCUUUUAAAAGCAACUUGGGGUACUUCAUUACAGUAAAACAUAUGAGAGUUCUUUUCACAUGCAUUUGUUUCUGCACUUGCAGCUCUGGGUUGCCAAGGUAUUAUUUAUUAAUUAGAGCAUAAGGAUUACAAAUUGCAACAAAUAACCUUGCUUAACCCUAUUAACGUGUUACUGCUAGCACCUCAAAAUUGCAAAAUUUCUGUAUGUUUGUAUGUUUCUGAAUUCCUGUGCUAUAGCUGGUAAAACCUUAUUUGCCAAAAUUCAGUCUGUAUGAGUCAGUGCUGCCUUCACAUCACAUUCUGGCCUGUCUGGAAAUCGACUUUCUAUAUGGUUAUAUAGAUGUUCUAUAAAUCUUAAAAUAAAUUCAGUGUGGUUGGCCAAAGGAGCCUUUGCUACUCUUUGAACAAGUGCAGUCUAGCUUUCCCUCCCCUACAAAAUAGUAUUUGUCCUUGGCAGGGAACAGA